rnacentral:rRNA from 1 species
GAUGAACGCUGGCGGCGUGCUUAACACAUGCAAGUCGAACGAACAUGUCUUUCGGGAUAUGUUAGUGGCAGACGGGUGCGUAACACGUGGGUGACCUGCCCUGGAGUGGGGAAUAACUAUCCUAACGGAUAGCUAAUACCGCAUAUGCUCGGUGGUUCGUUCCGCUGAGUAAAGUCGCAAGACGCUUUGGGAUGGGCCUGCGGCGGAUUAGGUAGUUGGUGGGGUAAUGGCCUACCAAGCCGAUGAUCCGUAGGGGGCGUGAGAGCGCGGCCCCCACACUGGCACUGAGAUACGGGCCAGACUCCUACGGGAGGCAGCAGUGAGGAAUAUUGCGCAAUGGGCGAAAGCCUGACGCAGCAACGCCGCGUGAGGGACGAAGGCCUUCGGUCGUAAACCUCUUUCUUGGGGAAAGAGACAGGACGGUACCUCAGGAAUAAGUCUCGGCUAACUACGUG